GUCAGGAUGGCCGAGUGGUCUAAGGCGCCAGACUCAAGUUCUAGGGGCAUGGGUUCAAAUCCCACUCCUGACA